AAGUGCCAAAUUAUACAGUCGUCUAUAUGUACCCUGUAGAAUCGAAUUUGUGUGAAUAUUUGAGAGUCACAAAUUCGUCUCUAGGGGAGUAUAUGGACGAUGCCAGAGCCUUGUAAAGUU
rnacentral:precursor_RNA from 15 species